CAUCACACAAGACACAACAACAACAAUGAACAACAUCAUCAUCCUCAUCUGGACACUGACGCUCUGCAUUCAGGAGAUCUGGGGCCAAGUGACAGUGACUCAGAAUCCAGAAAUAGAAUCCAUCAAACAAGGAGAAACUGUUACGAUCAGCUGUAAAACCAGUCAGCCGAUUUCUGGCUGUAGUGACUGUGUGUCUUGGUAUCAGCAGAAACCUGGAGAAGCUCCUAAACUUCUCAUAUAUUACACAAGCAGCCUCCAGUCAGGAACUCCAUCUAGAUUCAGUGGCAGUGGAUCUAGCUACGGAAGUGAUUUCUCUCUCACCAUCAGUGGAGUCCAGACUGAAGAUACAGGAGAUUAUUACUGUAUGAGUUACCACAGCAUCAACAGUAAAUAUGUGUUCACACAGUGA